AACACUUCAUGACUGAGAGCUGCUACAGCAACUUCUUCACCCACAGCAGCCAUGACUUUAAUCCCCAUCUUCAUCUGGACCCUGAUCUUCUGCUCUCAAGAGUCCAUAGGUCAGGUGACUGUGACUCAGAGUCCUGCAGUGAAAUCUGCUCUUCCAGGAGACACCGUCACCAUCAGCUGCAGGACCAGUCCUGCUGUUUACAGUAACGAUCGCUUACACUGGUAUCAGCAGAAACCUGGAGAAGCUCCUAAACUCCUGAUUAAAGUUGUGAAUCAGCUUCAGUCUGGUUUUGCAGUUCGUUUCAGUGGUAGUGGAUCUGGAUCUGACUUCACUCUGACCAUCAGUGGAGUCCAGCCUGAAGACACACACACACAUACACACACACACACACACAAAUUCACUACUAAUGAUAAAUGA